rnacentral:rRNA from 1 species
UACGUAGGGUGCGAGCGUUGUCCGGAAUUAUUGGGCGUAAAGGGCUCGUAGGCGGUUUGUCGCGUCGGGAGUGAAAACGCCGUGCUUAACACGGCGCUUGCUUUCGAUACGGGCAGACUAGAGGUAUUCAGGGGAGAACGGAAUUCCUGGUGUAGCGGUGAAAUGCGCAGAUAUCAGGAGGAACACCGGUGGCGAAGGCGGAUCUCUGGGCCUGUCCUGACGCUGAGGCGCGAAAGCUAGGGGAGCGAACAGG